CCUUUGGAAAAAGGCAGCAAAGAGGGUGAGACUCCCGUUCUUGCCUGAGAUGCUUGACUUGAAUCAUGUCUUCAACGAUCGAGUUGUUUGGGAUUGCAUCUCAAAGCGGGUGGUAAAUUCCAUCUAAAGCUAAAUAUUGGUGGGAGACCGAUAGCGAACAAGUACCGUGAGGGAAAGAUGAAAAGAACUUUGAAAAGAGAGUUAAAGAGUACCUGAAAUUGCUGAAAAGGAAGCGAAGGAAACCAGUGUUAUCUCCAACCAUUUUUCUCGUGCUGCUUGCAGUGUG
rnacentral:rRNA from 1 species